UGGGGAAUAUUGCGCAAUGGGGGAAACCCUGACGCAGCAACGCCGCGUGAAGGAUGAAGGUUUUCGGAUUGUAAACUUCUUUGAUGAGGGACGAAACAAAUGACGGUACCUCAAAAACAAGCCACGGCUAACUACGUGCCAGCAGCCGCGGUAAUACGUAGGUGGCGAGCGUUGUCCGGAAUUACUGGGUGUAAAGGGCGUGUAGGCGGGGAUGUAAGUCAGAUGUGAAAUACCGAGGCUUAACUUCGGGGCUGCAUCUGAAACUACGUUUCUUGAGUGUCGGAGAGGAAAGCGGAAUUCCCAGUGUAGCGGUGAAAUGCGUAGAUAUUGGGAGGAACACCAGUGGCGAAGGCGGCUUUCUGGACGAUAACUGACGCUGAGGCGCGAAAGCGUGGGGAGCAAACA
rnacentral:rRNA from 1 species